GCCUCCCUCCGCGCCAUCAGACUCCUACGGGAGACAGCAGUAAGGAAUAUUGGUCAAUGGGCGAAGGCCUGAACCAGCCAUGCCGCGUGCAGGAAGACGGCCCUACGGGUUGUAAACUGCUUUUAUACGGGAAUAAACCUCACUACGUGUAGUGAGCUGAAUGUACUGUAAGAAUAAGGAUCGGCUAACUCCCGUGCCAGCAGCCGCGGUAAUUC
rnacentral:rRNA from 1 species